CCUACAGCUCCCAGCUAUCCGCGCCGGACUGGCUGGGAUCCACGUCGUCCCAGAGUAGGCCAACUAGGAGACACUAUUUCCUCCUUGGCUGUUUUCAAAUGCGAUGUCGCUUCGCGCCCGUUCUUCACUGGAAAAACUGAAAUGUUUUUUACCUAAUAAUCAGGACUAACUGAAGGCUUCUCAACUUCAGAACAUUCAUCUGUGAAAUUAUCUGGCCAGAAGAGUAAAGGAGCCCAUCUGGAUCUUUCUUUCGUUAAGGGCACAAGGAGCAGCCAGGUCGCAGUGGUGCAUGCCCUAAUCUCAGUACUACAAAGGAUAAAGCAGGAGGAUCGCUGCCAGCCGGUUCAAGAUUAUCCUGAACUACAUAGCAAGACGGGGGUGGGGGGUGGGGGGGGUGGUUUAAUACAAGUUAACUUUGGUCUCUACAAAGAGUGCUCAAAGUGGUGACCGUUAGCUUCUAGCCAUUUAUUAGUAUGGCGAACUGCUGGGUAUACAAUUUUUGGUGAACUCUAUGUAUGUUUUUCUAUUUUUCUGCAGUACACGUGCACUGCUUUGCUUAAAACAUUACCUCCCAUUUUAACAAAAAGAGCUUAUGGGAGCUAACCUCAAGUAGGUGCUGACCCUAGGGUCCCUGACGGUUUCAUGUAUCUGGGAAUAGUCUGCUUAUCCUAGUGAAGCAAAGACAGUUUCUGAGACAGGAGGUGCUGAAGGACAGCCGUAUUAUCCUGGGAAGGGCCUCUCCCUGGAAAACCAAAUCAACUGCCUCUUGGUAGACUGAUUGGCCUUACUUGAAGGAAAGGUACCCAGUCUCUGACUUAGGGAAGCUUUACAGUAUGACGGGAGCUAAACUUAGAAUUGAAAGAGGUGCUGUUACGGGGUACUUCUCAGUCUGAGACCGUAGAUUAGAGAGAGGGAGAAAAAAACACCAUGCCCAGUGGGUCUUACCUCCUUCUAGCUAGCUUCACCAAAAUAUGUUACUGGGUUCCAGGGUACUGGAGUCUCCUAGUGGUACCUUCUAGGUUCUUUUUAUCUUUAACAAAGAAUUGGACAAAAGCACAAACGGUAGCCACAUAUUUAUUAAGGUAAGAAAAAACUCUGCAGAGUAAGUGUAGGCCAAUUAAAAGUAGGAAAAGAAGUAUGAUUUACAGAGUGAGAGCAACCCAGUGAAAAGGCUCACAACCACCACAGAUGGUUAAUGGCUAUCUUUUGUAUCUCGCACUCCUUGGGCUGACAUCUGGUCUUGAAAAAUUGCUUAAAUUCCUUUGAGCAGAAUUGAAGAUUGGUUUUAGGUGCAAAUCUUGGGCAUUUGUCUCCUGGAUGUCUGUGUUUAACAGGUCAUACUUACCUGCCCAGGCAGUUUGCCAUCCCCUAAUCUCCUGCCUCAUUUCCCCCUGAGAAAUAUAAAUCCCUGUAAUUCUUUAAGGGGUGUUGAGGGUGUGAGGGUCUCCAUCUUCAUAGAGCCACUUUCUACUGAAAGAGACUAUAGGCCCUACCUACUGGGGAUUCUGUACUCUUGAACUACCUUGGGAUGUUGUGGCUUACCAGCUGGACUGGGAGGGGUGCCUGUCGGAAGAAAAUGAGAAAAGAGUUAAUGUCUCUAUGUGAACUAGCUGAUCAACAGAAGAAAUCUUGGUGAAUUUGUCAGGACAGUAACUUUAUUAUUAGGUUGGGGAUGUAGAGCUUAAAUAUGAGAAGGAACAGGUCAGAUUUUCAUAGCUUCCAUGAAGGAGACAGUAUGACAAAAGGGAUAAAUUACCAAGAGCCUCAGAGCUAGAGCCCUAGCAAGACUCGCCGCAUUAUGGAUCUAAUCAAAAACAGGAGUCUCAAUACAUGUAUCCCUUUAAACUAUGGUGAAUGAAAGGUCACUAGUGACUGUACUUAUCUGCACCCAAAGCAGUACUGAGUUGCUUUUUGAAGAGGAGUCUCAGGUCAUCCAGAGGUUCACAGGAGUAGCUUUUUCUAACAAAGGAUGUGUGUGCUCACUGAAGCAGCACAUAUACUAACAAAGGAGGUGGUCUGGGAUUGCCAGAGUUAUUGUAAGCACAAUGUGAAAGCUUUACAGACCUGUCAGGUGAUCACUGCUAGUCCUAAUCCUGUAAAAAUUUAAGUGGCCAUUCCCUAUGUAGAGAUUUUAUAGCUUUCCACUGUGUCCCUUGAAGAAUGACCAGUUUCAUGGUUCCUUGGGAACUGGGAGUAAGGCUAGGGUCUUGAGGGGCUGUAAGGCUUCUCUUCUUUCCUCUCUACCAGGCUUUUAAUUUCCCAAGUAAACUUUAGACAUGUUUCUUUGGGUCUCUUGCAAUAAAUGACAGUGACCUUCUUGGGGAGUUGCUGAUUAGUCAGCAAGCCCCUUUAUUUUAGAUUACUCCAUGGGCAGGCAGCAACAGAACGUGUACUUGGGAUCUGUGAAAAUAUUUAGCUUUUUACCUUUUCUUAAUAUCAAUGUGUGAGUAAGGGCUAUGAGCUUCAUUUUUUGAACAGAGGUCCAUGAGGCAAGGGGUUUGGCCUCAAACCUGGUUGUGAACUGACAAUGCAUAAUGUGCCUUUUGAUAUUGUUCUUGGACAAAACUACUUCCAUCAGUGGACCACUCCUCCUCAGGGUCUUGGAGGGGCAGAUCACUGAUGUCCUGCUGGCUCACAUAAGUCUGGGAAAUUACCUGUUCACAAGAGUGGCUAGCUUCUGAGCCAGUAGGCAUCAGUGAGGCAGGAUUAAGAGUAGUGUAAGUAUUUAUGGUAACCUCAGGGGUGUCUACAAGCAUGGCCUGAUGUAGUCCUAAUAAGUAAAAUCUGCUUUAUCCUUUGCCAGAAUCAGAGAAUUGUCUCCAAUUUUGCUAGUAAACCUCUUCCUAGUAAGGGAGUAGGACACUGUGGGACAAUUAAAAGCUACUGGUUAAACAUUGGCUUUCAAAUUGACAUGUCAGAACAGGAGUAAAGAAGUUCUGACUAGGCCAGGCAUGAUGGUACACACCUGUAAUACCAGCACUUGGGAGGCUGAGGCAGGAGGAUCACUGCAAGUUCAAGGUCAGCCUGUGCUACACAGUGAGUUCAAGGCCAUCCUGAACUACAUAGUGAAACUGUCAAAAAAAAAAAAAAAGUCCUGACUAGGGUUCUUCCUCACCCUCAAUUAUGGAUACAGAUGGAGAAAACAAUUUUUAGAAAAUAAAGUUAAAACAGAAUUAUUGAAUUUGUCACCUAUGAUGUCUAAGGUCACCUGUAGUUCUUUUUAAAGAGAUGGAGAUGUCAGACUACUUCUGUCACUAUAGCCCACUCUUUCUGAACUUUUUUUUUUUUUGGUACUGGGGAUCGAACUUGGGUCCUUACGCUUGCAAGGCAGGUGGCGGAACCACUGAGGUAAAUCCCCGGCCCUGUAGCCCAUUCUUUCUGUAGAACGUACUUAUUUUCCUAUUUUCACUUUGCCCAAACUCACUCUGCAGAGCCUGUUUCUUUUCUUACUUUUAAUAAACGUAAUAUUUCGUACUGUUUGCACUUCUGUUUGCCAAUUCUUUGUUCAGGACAGAAAGAACCUAAAAACCACCUCUAGAAGGAGACUCCAGCACUCCAAAACCUGGUAACAUAUUUGACAUAGCCAGCCAGAAGCAGGUAAGACCCUUUUGGACACAUUUUUGGUUUCUUGCUCUCUAAAAUCUAUAGCUAAGAAGGUGUUUUUCUUUUCCUCUGUCUCUCCUAGGAAAGUGCCAAUCUCCUUCUCAUCCCUUCUCCCCCAGAACAGGCUUUCAUCCUUCAGAGAGCUUCAGUCCUUUUUGGUUAUCAGAGGGAGGCAGGGAUCUAGAGGAUGGUAAAAAUUAAUGGAAGCUGGGGAACUCGGGAAGCUCUCUCACACACCAGGAACAGCUUCCUAGUGUGUCCUACCAUGUGGAACAGGAGAGAAGGAGCACAUGGCCUCAUUUUUCCCAGCCAUUAGGAGGACCAUAGGUCUGCCCCACAUUUAUUUCCUCUUUUCUUUCUUCUCUUUCCCAUUUUCAGUCUCAUUGCAGUAAAGAACAGCCAGACAACUUAUUAACCCAGUGGCAGAACAGAUCAUUCAGGUUCUGUGUGUACAACCUAGCAUUGAGUAUGCCUUUUUUGUCCUCACGUUUCUGUACUUCAUGAUAGUUUACUCAAUGUUCUCUGUCUUUUGGGAAAAAUAGAUUUUUAGUAACUUAGUCUCCUGCCUGAGUAGCCACCUACCCUAGUUACUACUUUUUGUGCUCAAAGUCUCAUCUGUGUUUUUCCCCUACAUGCCUUUUAUCUCUGGGUAUCAUCAUUAGUGAGUUGCUUUCUCAGGACCUUGUUUCACCUUAGUCCACCUUUCAGCAUGAUUGGCAGCCAUUUUGUUUCUUCUUGUAAUGCAUGAGUUGGCCAUAUGGUUGCAUCAUGUUUGUUCACCAUUUUCUUUUCAAAUAACCUCAUCACCAGGAAAUUUCACUCUUGUAGAUAGGAUCUAAGCUUCUGAUUUUAGGGAACAUGUGGGCUUCUUCCCCUUUUCUCUUUUGAACUAGGUUAAGAACCCCUCCUUGUUUCUUCUAACAGAAAUUCAGGUAAUUUAGAAAUACAUUCCUGAUGGCCUGAGGAGAACAGAGACAGCCAGUAAAGAUCAACUCAAGCAGCUGGGAUGCCCUCUGAAGGACACCAGAACCAGUCUUCUCUCUCUUUCCAUUACCCUCAUACAGGAAAGUGGUGAGAACUCCCUUAUGUUCAGGUUUUUAUGGCUCUAUACCUCUGUAAAGGCCCAAGAACCACAGUACUUAAAGAGGACUCCAGAAGAAAAAAAUGCCUGUCCUCAGAUGCCUACCUGUCUCUCAGAGUGAUAUAGGUCUCUCCUACGUAUUUCUACCAGAGGCUAGUGGUCCAGAGAGACCUAAUAUUUUCAAAAGACCUUGGUAUGUUUGCAGAUGGGGCCUCAAGACCGUAUGACCCAAUUGCUGGACAUAAUCUUUUCUGUGUUCAACAACUAGAAUCAAGAUGAGGAUAAAAGGAGAAAAGUUGAGGGAAAAAAAGCAGGUGGCACUUAUAGCCAUCACAACUGGCAAUGUAUGAAGUACACCCAAGUCAUCUAAGGAAAAACUCAGAGCCAAUCAAGGACUGCAAGAAAUUAGGACACUGUGCUGAAGAGUUGGAUCAGUGAUAGAGCUCUUGCCUAGCAUGCAAAAGGCCCUGGGUUCCAUUCUCAGCAGUGCAAAAGAAAGAGAGAAAGAAAGAAAGAAAAGAAGAAAGAAAGAAAAGAAAGAAGCCAGGACACUGAGCACACAACUGUACAAAUCCACUGUCUGGGCAUGCUCUAUGUAUCCUGACUCAUGGCACUGGAGGAUUGAAUGUCCCUGAUCCCAGAGAGGUGAUAGGCCAGCCAAAAUCUUCACCCCCAGCCUGGCUAAAGAGGACUGAAGAGGCCUGGGGCAACUUGCAAUGCCCUUGUCCACAGACAUCUUCGUCUAGUGAGAGAAACCCUAGGUGACCCUUGAUUUGUGGGACUAGGAAGAAAGCCAUGCCUGUGAACCUCUGGAAGAUGUGAGGCUCCUCUUCAAAAAGCAAGACCAAUACUGUUCUGGGUACAGAUAAGAAGCAUGGAAAUCUGACCUGUUUCUUCUUAUAUUUGGGCUGUACAUCCCCAACUUAAUAGUAAAGUUACUUUCUUUCUCACAUUAAAACAGACAUCUUAACAGUAACUACCCCUUUUCUUAUUUCUUCAACCCAGCAAGUGAGCCACAACACCCCAAGGUAGUUGCUGAGCAAAUAAUCCCCAGUAGGUAUGGCCUUUAGCCCCUCCCAGCAGGAAGUAGCUAUAUUAAGACGGAUAACUGCACUCUCUCAGCACCCCAUGAAGAAUUAAGGGAUAAGUAUUACUCAGGGAAAUGACUCAUAAGAUUAGGGCGUGGCAAAGCUGUCUGGGAAAGUAGUCAUCUCCUGUUAAUUACAAAAUCCCAGGACACACGCAUAAAACAGUCCCCCAAGCCCUGCAUGUGGACUUGUCAUUAGAACUUGAGCAAGUUUUUGAUAGAAUGGUCCAGAUCUGAUGUCAGCCUAAGGAGUGGACAAUACAAAAAGGACAGUCACCAUUGAUUCUCUGCUACUGUGUUCUUUCACUGUAGCCCACUCUUUCUGUAGAGCAUACUUCUUUUCCUAC